UNCACUGACUACGUUGCUGAGACGGGCCUC
rnacentral:piRNA from 1 species